GGAGAGAUGGCUCAGUGGUUAAGAGCACUGACUGCUCUUCCAGAGGUCCUGAGUUCAAUUCCUAGCAACCACA
rnacentral:tRNA from 1 species